rnacentral:misc_RNA from 1 species
CAACUUCGAAAGCGACAUACACGCAGGUGUAAACAUAGGUGAGUAUCUGGCACAACGCGAUCGAUAACGAAUCACCAUUUUAUUAAUAACGUUAAAACUCUGACGAGGGUCUUCUCGCUCGCUAAAAUUCCACAACUCGGGAAGGCUGGCCGGCAUUCCAGUAGUAGGUAGUAGGCAACCGGAGAAGCAGAGAGCGGUCGCAGAGCGAUAAUAGAGAAUAGAAAAUAAAAUAAAAGGAGCGGAAAGAGGCAAAAAAAAACUAAUACCCAAUGCUGAAAAUAUCAGAGUCCAUAUUAUCAGAAGAGUGAGGGACAGCCUACGAAGUCGUAUAGCCGUAUGUCCGCUGAAUACAAAAAAUUGGUGCAUUGGUGCAAAAUCACUUAUUCUACGGAUGCACAUUUAUAAUUGUAACAAAUACGUACCUUUGGUUCUUUCGGAUGUGAUUGAAGAAAUAUUUUAUUUAGAUUUGAAGAAUUAGACGAAACUAUCGUCGAUUAUGUUGUUGUCGGAUUGAUCGUCGGUGUACACUGUACAAAUAUGUUCGAAUGUAUUUCACCCCGUUGAUUCUGAAAAUAAAUAUUUGCCUUCAUUCG